rnacentral:rRNA from 1 species
GGUGAAGGAUGAGCCCGCGGCCUAUCAGCUUGUUGGUGGGGUGAUGGCCUACCAAGGCGACGACGGGUAGCCGGCCUGAGAGGGCGACCGGCCACACUGGGACUGAGACACGGCCCAGACUCCUACGGGAGGCAGCAGUGGGGAAUAUUGCACAAUGGGCGAAAGCCUGAUGCAGCGACGCCGCGUGAGGGAUGACGGCCUUCGGGUUGUAAACCUCUUUCAGCAGGGAAGAAGCGAGAGUGACGGUACCUGCAGAAGAAGCGCCGGCUAACUACGUGCCAGCAGCCGCGGUAAUACGUAGGGCGCAAGCGUUGUCCGGAAUUAUUGGGCGUAAAGAGCUCGUAGGCGGCUUGUCACGUCGGAUGUGAAAGCCCGGGGCUUAACCCCGGGUCUGCAUUCGAUACGGGCAGGCUAGAGUUCGGUAGGGGAGAUCGGAAUUCCUGGUGUAGCGGUGAAAUGCGCAGAUAUCAGGAGGAACACCGGUGGCGAAGGCGGAUCUCUGGGCCGAUACUGACGCUGAGGAGCGAAAGCGUGGGGAGCGAACAGGAUUAGAUACCCUGGUAGUCCACGCCGUAAACGUUGGGAACUAGGUGUGGGCGACAUUCCACGUCGUCCGUGCCGCAGCUAACGC